rnacentral:rRNA from 1 species
GAUUAAGUUAUUAAGGGCGCACGGUGGAUGCCUUGGCACUAGAAGCCGAUGAAGGACGUUACUAACGACGAUAUGCUUUGGGGAGCUGUAAGUAAGCUGUAAUCCAGAGAUUUCCGAAUGGGGAAACCCAGCACGAGUUAUGUCGUGUUAUCGACAUGUGAAUAUAUAUCAUGUCUGAAGGCAUACCCGGAGAACUGAAACAUCUUAGUACCCGGAGGAAGAGAAAGAAAAAUCGAUUCCCUGAGUAGCGGCGAGCGAAACGGGAAGAGCCCAAACCAAUAAGCUUGCUUAUUGGGGUUGUAGGACACUCUAUACGGAGUUACAAAUGUAUAAAUUAGACGAAUUAUCUGGAAAGAUAAAUCAAAGAAGGUAAUAAUCCUGUAGUCGAAAAUUUAUACACUCUUGAGUGGAUCCUGAGUACGACGGAGCACGUGGAAUUCCGUCGGAAUCCGGGAGGACCAUCUCCCAAGGCUAAAUACUCUCUAGUGACCGAUAGUGAACCAGUACCGUGAGGGAAAGGUGAAAAGUACCCGGAAGGGGAGUGAAAGAGAACUUGAAACCGUGUGCUUACAAGUAGUCAGAGCCCGUUAAUGGGUGAUGGCGUGCCUUUGUAGAAUGAACCGGCGAGUUACGAUCUGAUGCAAGGUUAAGCAGCAAAUGUGGAGCCGCAGCGAAAGCGAGUCUGAAUAGGGCGUUGAGUAUUUGGUCGUAGACCCGAAACCAGGUGAUCUACCCAUGACCAGGCUGAAGUUCAGGUAACACUGAAUGGAGGGCCGAACCGACUUACGUUGAAAAGUGAGCGGAUGAGUUGUGGGUAGCGGAGAAAUUCCAAUCGAACCUGGAGAUAGCUGGUUCUCUCCGAAAUAGCUUUAGGGCUAGCCUCAAGUGAUGAUUAUUGGAGGUAGAGCACUGUUUGGACGAGGGGCCCUUCUGGGUUACCGAAUUCAGACAAACUCCGAAUGCCAAUCAAUUUAACUUGGGAGUCAGAACAUGGGUGAUAAGGUCCGUGUUCGAAAGGGAAACAGCCCAGACCACCAGCUAAGGUCCCAAAAUAUAUGUUAAGUGGAAAAGGAUGUGGCGUUGCCCAGACAACUAGGAUGUUGGCUUAGAAGCAGCCAUCAUUUAAAGAGUGCGUAAUAGCUCACUAGUCGAGUGACACUGCGCCGAAAAUGUACCGGGGCUAAACAUAUUACCGAAGCUGUGGAUUGUCCGUAGGACAAUGGUAGGAGAGCGUUCUAAGGGCGUUGAAGCAUGAUCGCAAGGACAUGUGGAGCGCUUAGAAGUGAGAAUGCCGGUGUGAGUAGCGAAAGACGGGUGAGAAUCCCGUCCACCGAUUGACUAAGGUUUCCAGAGGAAGGCUCGUCCGCUCUGGGUUAGUCGGGACCUAAGCUGAGGCCGAAAGGCGUAGGCGAUGGACAACAGGUUGAUAUUCCUGUACCACCUCAAUUCGUUUUAAGCGAUGGGGGACGCAGUAGGAUAGGCGAAGCGUACGAUUGGAUUGUACGUCCAAGCAGUAAGACUGAGUAUUAGGCAAAUCCGGUACUCGUAAGGUCAAGCUGUGAUGGGGAGAGGGAUUUAUUCCUCGAGUCGUUGAUUUCACACUGCCAAGAAAAUCCUCUAGCUAGAAUUAUGGUGCCCGUACCGCAAACCGACACAGGUAGUCAAGAUGAGAAUUCUAAGGUGAGCGAGCGAACUCUCGUUAAGGAACUCGGCAAAAUGACCCCGUAACUUCGGGAGAAGGGGUGCUUUCAGGGUUCACGCCCAGGAAAGCCGCAGUGAAUAGGCCCAAGCGACUGUUUAUCAAAAACACAGGUCUCUGCUAAACCGUAAGGUGAUGUAUAGGGGCUGACGCCUGCCCGGUGCUGGAAGGUUAAGAGGAGUGGUUAGCUUCUGCGAAGCUACGAAUCGAAGCCCCAGUAAACGGCGGCCGUAACUAUAACGGUCCUAAGGUAGCGAAAUUCCUUGUCGGGUAAGUUCCGACCCGCACGAAAGGCGUAACGAUUUGGGCACUGUCUCAACGAGAGACUCGGUGAAAUCAUAGUACCUGUGAAGAUGCAGGUUACCCGCGACAGGACGGAAAGACCCCGUGGAGCUUUACUGUAGUCUGAUAUUGAAAUUCGGCACAGCUUGUACAGGAUAGGUAGGAGCCUUUGAUACGUGAGCGCUAGCUUACGUGGAGGCGUUGGUGGGAUACUACCCUCGCUGUGUUGGAUUUCUAACCCGCACCAUUGAUCAUGGUGGGAGACAGUGUCAGAUGGACAGUUUGACUGGGGCGGUCGCCUCCUAAAGAGUAACGGAGGCGCUCAAAGGUUCCCUCAGAAUGGUUGGAAAUCAUUCACAGAGUGUAAAGGCAUAAGGGAGCUUGACUGCGAGACUUACAAGUCGAGCAGGGUCGAAGACGGACUUAGUGAUCCGGUGGUUCCGCAUGGAAGGGCCAUCGCUCAACGGAUAAAAGCUACCCCGGGGAUAACAGGCUUAUCUCCCCCAAGAGUUCACAUCGACGGGGAGGUUUGGCACCUCGAUGUCGGCUCAUCGCAUCCUGGGGCUGUAGUCGGUCCCAAGGGUUGGGCUGUUCGCCCAUUAAAGCGGUACGCGAGCUGGGUUCAGAACGUCGUGAGACAGUUCGGUCCCUAUCCGUCGUGGGCGUAGGAAAUUUGAGAGGAGCUGUCCUUAGUACGAGAGGACCGGGAUGGACAUACCUCUGGUGUACCAGUUGUCGUGCCAACGGCAUCGCUGGGUAGCUAUGUAUGGACGGGAUAAGUGCUGAAAGCAUCUAAGCAUGAAGCCCCCCUCAAGAUGAGAUUUCCCAACUUCGGUUAUAAGAUCCUCAAAGAUGAUGAGGUUAAUAGGUUCGAGGUGGAAGCAUAGUGAUAUGUGGAGCUGACGAAUACUAAUCGAUCGAAGACUUAAUCAA